rnacentral:rRNA from 1 species
UGGGGAAUAUUGGACAAUGGGCGAAAGCCUGAUCCAGCAAUGCCGCGUGAGUGAUGAAGGCCUUAGGGUUGUAAAGCUCUUUUACCCGGGAUGAUAAUGACAGUACCGGGAGAAUAAGCCCCGGCUAACUCCGUGCCAGCAGCCGCGGUAAUACGGAGGGGGCUAGCGUUGUUCGGAAUUACUGGGCGUAAAGCGCACGUAGGCGGCUUUGUAAGUUAGAGGUGAAAGCCCGGAGCUCAACUCCGGAAUUGCCUUUAAGACUGCAUCGCUUGAAUCAUGGAGAGGUGAGUGGAAUUCCGAGUGUAGAGGUGAAAUUCGUAGAUAUUCGGAAGAACACCAGUGGCGAAGGCGACUCACUGGACAUGUAUUGACGCUGAGGUGCGAAAGCGUGGGGAGCAAACA